CCUACGGGAGACAGCAGUGAGGAAUAUUGGUCAAUGGGCGCGAGCCUGAACCAGCCAAGUAGCGUGAAGGAUGACUGCCCUACGGGUUGUAAACUUCUUUUAUAAAGGAAUAAAGUGAGGCACGUGUGCCUUUUUGUAUGUACUUUAUGAAUAAGGAUCGGCUAACUCCGUGCCAUCAGCCGCGUUAAUACGGAGGAUCCGAGCGUUAUCCGGCAUUAUUGGGUUUAAAGGGAGCGUAGAUGGGUUGUUAAGUCAGUUGUGAAAGUUUGCGGCUCAACCGUAAAAUUGCAAUUGAUACUGGCAGUCUUGAGUACAGUUGAGGUAGGCGGAAUUCGUGGUGUAGCGGUGAAAUGCUUAGAUAUCACGAAGAACUCCGAUUGCGAAGGCAGCUUACUAAACUGCCACUGACAUUGAUGCUCGAAAGUGUGGGUAUCAAACAGGAUUAGAUACCCCGGUAGUC
rnacentral:rRNA from 1 species